rnacentral:rRNA from 1 species
UACGGGGGGAGCAAGCGUUGUUCGGAUUUACUGGGCGUAAAGGGCGCGUAGGCGGCCAGCACAAGUCAGUUGUGAAAUCUCCGAGCUUAACUCGGAAAGGUCAACUGAUACUGUGCGGCUAGAGUGCAGAAGGGGCAACUGGAAUUCUCGGUGUAGCGGUGAAAUGCGUAGAUAUCGAGAGGAACACCUGCGGCGAAGGCGGGUUGCUGGGCCGACACUGACGCUGAGGCGCGAAAGCUAGGGGAGCGAACGGG